CCACGGACCCCUCUAUUGGCUGCACGGGACUGGCGAUAUCCAGGAAAGGCCAUCAGGGGCCCUGGGUGUGGAAGGAUGUGCUCUCUUGGUUUUCCUGGCUUCUGGCUCUGUCCAGUAUGAUGAAGUGUAGAGGUGAAUGCCCCUGAGCAAGCCACAGAGCUUCUGAGAACCUCUGCUCCCUCGCCUUUCCAGGAUCUUAGAUGCCAGUGGGAUACUCCCGAGUCCCAAAGUCAGGGCCUAACUCACUAUUUUAAAUUAUUUUAAAUUAUAUUGUGCCCCUGACCCAUGUGUGUGUGUGUGUGUGUGUGUGUGUGUGUGUGUGUGUGUGUGUACAGCUUGUGGGAGUCAGUUCUCUCCUACCAUUCUAUCAUGUGGAUCCUGGGGAAAACCACCAACCUUGAGAGCACACAUCUGAACUGUCUCCUCACUGUUUUUAUUGCUUUACCAAACUCAAACUCUUGCUGAAUAAGCUAUGGGUGUCUAGUCCUACAAGACCCCAUGAGGACAAAGACUUUCUUAAGAACUGGUUCCUAGUCAGUAGGUAGAGGCAGGCAGAUCUCUGAGUUCAAGGCCCAGGACAGCUAGGACUGUAGUCUGGCCGACUGAGAAAACUAGGCUUGAAAACAACAAAACCAAAAAAAGAACUGGCUACUGGGGAGCGUAACUCACCUGGUUGUGUACACGCAGGAAACCUUGGGUUCAGUCCUCAGCACGAGGCUGGUGUAUGCUUAUGAUCCCAGCUCUGAGGAAGUGGAGGCAGGAAGAUCAUGAGUUCAAGAUCCUCCUCAGCUGCUGACUGGCACCCAAUUUUUAGGAAAUAAUUUCCUGAAACUUUUUUAUCUGGAAGAUAAGCACAAAUAUUUAGUUUUACAAAAUCAAUAGUUAUAAUGUGAAUAGUUAUAAAUUGCCUUAAUGUUCAACUAUUGUCAGUUGUUAGUGUGAUAAGACAAAUAGAAUAUUAUACAACCUUUAAGAGGAAGCAGGUGGUUGUUAUUGGUGUGGAAAGAUGUUAAUUACUAAAGAAAAACAAGAUACUGUCUUAGUUAAGGUUUCGUUGCUGUGAAUAGACACCAUGACCAAGCCACUCUUACAAGGAAAACGUUUAACUGGGGCUAGCUUACAGGUUCAGGAGUUUAGACCAUUAUCAUCAAAGCAAGACAUAUACAUGGUGGUGUACAGACAGACACGGUGCUGGAGAAGGAGCUGAGAACUCCUCCUUGAUCUGCAGGUAGCAGGAGACUGUACCACUACACUGGGCAUGGUUUGAGCAUAGGAAACCUCAAAGCCCACCCCCACAGUGACACACUUUCCCAACAAGGCCACACCUACUCCUACAAGGCCACACCUCCUAAUAGUGGCACUCCCUAUGGGCCAAGCAUUCAAACACAUGAGUCUAUGGUGGCUAUAUCUGUAAAUGGAUUUUUAUUAAACUCUAUGAGUUAGUGGCAUGACUCAGUCAACCCCCCUCCCCCAUAACCAAGGCAGAAUCCUAUGGAUUAUUUAACCAGCUCUUGCACAAUUACUGGGGGAUUACCCCUAAUCUUUGUUUCUAUUAACUAGACUGUUAAUUCCCAGCUGUGCUCCCCAAAUAUUUGCUGUUGGAACCUUGCCUGGGUUACUUCUGUUGCAGCAAACUGUCCUGGGGGGUGGGGGUGGGGGACAUUUCACUCAGGCACAUGCUCCUGGGCCAUCAUGUCUAACGGAGACCUUCUGUCUGUCCUCUGUCUUCCUUCUCCUAUUCCUCUCUUUCUUUUUCAUGGUCUCUACCUGCAGCCCAUAACCAGGUAACUGAAAACCAGCCUACCUCUACUGUCCCCAGUCAUUGGCUGUAGCCACCUUUAUUUAACCAAUAGUUUAAAAUUGGGGAGCAAGGUUUACAUAGCAUUACUUGGUGUAUGUGAGGAUCUGCUCGUGGGGGUGGGGUGGCUACCAGAUCUUGGGGGCCGGUAUUUAGCAUUUGAAUACAUAGCAGCACCAGCCGCUAGCUAACACAUACCAAUUCAAACGACAGCAAAGACUAUUUGUAUAUCAAAAACAUGUACUUGUAUAUUUAAAAAUCUGUAAGUUAUUGCAUCCAGAAGUCAACAGUAGAUAACCUUGAAUAUGGUUUUCAGUGAUUUCCCGGUCUAGAUUUUCCUCUUCCAAGUUCUCCACCCUGUACAUUGCUUUCGUGAAUGAUAAUGGUGAUGGAGAAUUAAAGAGGGGGGGGAGAUAAAGCUAUUAAUUUAAAAAAAGUUUCUUCCUUUAACUUUUAAAUUACUGACUAAAAAUGAAGACAUGACCACUCCUAGGUGUAAUUAAGAAGGUUUAAUUGUAGACUCGAGGGAAAGUACAGCCAGAGGCAUCUGGAAGAAUCCAGACUAAACGUGGUCAAGGGAGGUGGGGGUUAGUGAAAGAGAAACUGGAAAGGCAGAAGUGGCUAUAGACUAAUAGGCCAAGAGGGCUGGAAACCAAAAUGUAUAGGGAUGUAAGCUGGGGGAAGGGAAGCCUAGCACCUGGGUUAGAGAGGUUUAGAGUAGGGGAGGGGCAAGAAGUGCUCCUGGAGCCAAAGGUACAGUCCUGCUGGCUAGGAUCUGCUUUGAUAUGUUAAUAGUUCCUCUGUUUGCUCAGUCGUAGGUUUCUUUGAGACCUAACAUGUAUUUGUUAUUAAAAUGAUGGAGGGGGGGGUAGUCAGGUAGGAGUGGUGCACACGUUAAUCAGCUUAGAGGACGGUCUGGUCUACUGAGUGAGCCAGGGCUAUAGGAGAAAGCCUGUCCCCAAACACAAAACGAACCUAAACAAACAAAACAAAAAGGAAGAAAGGGGCUGGCUCUUUGUUCCAAGGGACCCAGGUUCAAUUCCCAGCACCCAAACAGCAGCUUACAACUGUCUGUAACUCCAGGAUCUGGCACCCUUGCACAAACAUACAUGCGGCAACAAAGCAAUACAAGGAAGAGAAAUUUCGACUAGAAAAUAUUUCCUAUUAUGUAAUUUUUUGUGCCUAUUGAUAGGAAACUGUGAUAUUUUGAUACCUAUGUACUUUGUAUAGAGUAAUUGGUAGGCCACCUUGUAUAUUUAUCAUUUCCUGAUCAGCUGUAAUCAAUCACAAACAUGAGUUCAGUACUGCUGACCACAGAAUACUACACUGUGCAAGAAGAC
rnacentral:lncRNA from 1 species